rnacentral:rRNA from 1 species
CCCUUAGAUGUCCUGGGCCGCACGCGCGCUACACUGAUCAGUGCAACAAGCAUCCGUCCUUGGCCGACAGGCCCGGGCAAUCUUUGAACGCUGAUCGUGAUGGGGAUAGACUUUUGCAAUUUUUGGUCUUCAACGAGGAAUUCCUAGUAAACGCAAGUCAUCAACUUGCAUUGAUUACGUCCCUGCCCUUUGUACACACCGCCCGUCGCACCUACCGAUUGAAUGGUCCGGUGAAGCCUCCGGAUUGGCGUGCACCCUCGGGUGCUGCCGAGAAGUUGGCUAAACCUUACCAUUUAGAGGAAGGUGAANUCGUAACA